AGAGAGAGACAUGCGCGCAUAUCAAUAAGCGGAGGAAAAGAAACUAACAAGGAUUCCCCUAGUAACGGCGAGUGAAGCGGGAAGAGCUCAAAUUUGAAAUCUUCAAGGUUCUACCUUUACGAAUUGUAGUUUAAAGAAGUGUUUUCUGUUGAGGUUUUGGUAAAAGUUCUUUGGAAUAGGACAUCAUAGAGGGUGAGAAUCCCGUAUUUGACCUUUACUUUCAACUUUGUGAUACACUUUCAAAGAGUCGGAUUGUUUGGGAAUGCAGUCCAAAAUGGGUGGUAAAUUUCAUCUAAAGCUAAAUAUUGGCGAGAGACCGAUAGCGAACAAGUACCGUGAGGGAAAGAUGAAAAGAACUUUGAAAAGAGAGUUAAACAGUACGUGAAAUUGUCAAAAGGGAAGCGUUUGACACCAGUGUUGUUUUUCUGAAAAUCAAUUAAAGAACUGUUUAUGCUAAGUUGUUUAGACUUUAUCAGCUAACUGUUUAGUUUUGAGCUUUUCUUUAAUGCACUUUUCAGUUAACAAGUCAACAUCAAUUUCUUUUGUUGUAAAAGGGUCAUUGGAAGGUGGCUUUCUUUUCGGAGAAAGUGUUUAUAGCCUUUGGCCUCUGCAAUCGGAGAGACUGAGGUCUGCAGCGUAGAUCCUUCGGGGUUAGAUACAUUUGUGCUAAGUUAUAGCCUUUCAUAGACAACUUGUUGACUAUGAUUAGUCAUUGUAGCUUACUCGCUUAUGCUAUUUUACCUACGCUUAGGAUGUUGAGCGCAUGUCUCUCUCU
rnacentral:rRNA from 1 species